AGAUUGAACGCUGGCGGCAGGCCUAACACAUGCAAGUCGAGCGGUAGAGAGGUGCUUGCACCUCUUGAGAGCGGCGGACGGGUGAGUAAAGCCUAGGAAUCUGCCUGGUAGUGGGGGAUAACGCUCGGAAACGGACGCUAAUACCGCAUACGUCCUACGGGAGAAAGCAGGGGACCUUCGGGCCUUGCGCUAUCAGAUGAGCCUAGGUCGGAUUAGCUAGUUGGUGAGGUAAUGGCUCACCAAGGCGACGAUCCGUAACUGGUCUGAGAGGAUGAUCAGUCACACUGGAACUGAGACACGGUCCAGACUCCUACGGGAGCAGCAGGUGGGAAUAGUUGGACAAGUGGGACGAAAGCCGUGACUCCGAGCCAUCGCCGCGUGUGUAGAAAGGAGGUUCUUCGGAUUAGUAAACGCUAACGUUUUAAGGUAGGGAGGAAGGUCUAAUUAACCGUAAUUACGUUAGUUGUUUAGUACGUUACCGA
rnacentral:rRNA from 1 species